AUUGAACGCUGGCGGCAGGCCUAACACAUGCAAGUCGAGCGGAGAGAGGUAGCUUGCUACUGAUCUUAGCGGCGGACGGGUGAGUAAUGCUUAGGAAUCUGCCUAUUAGUGGGGGACAACAUUUCGAAAGGAAUGCUAAUACCGCAUACGUCCUACGGGAGAAAGCAGGGGAUCUUCGGACCUUGCGCUAAUAGAUGAGCCUAAGUCGGAUUAGCAAGUUGGUGGGGUAAAGGCCUACCAAGGCGACGAUCUGUAGCGGGUCUGAGAGGAUGAUCCGCCACACUGGGACUGAGACACGGCCCAGACUCCUACGGGAGGCAGCAGUGGGGAAUAUUGGACAAUGGGCGCAAGCCUGAUCCAGCCAUGCCGCGUGUGUGAAGAAGGCCUUAUGGUUGUAAAGCACUUUAAGCGAGGAGGAGGCUACUUUAGAUAAUACCUAGAGAUAGUGGACGUUACUCGCAGAAUAAGCACCGGCUAACUCUGUGCCAGCCGCCGCGGUAACAC
rnacentral:rRNA from 1 species